AGUGGCGAACGGGUGAGGAACGCGUGGAGAACCUACCCCGGCGUGGGGGAUACCCGCCAGAAAUGGUGGCUAAUACCGCGUACGGUUGCUGGACGGGAGGUCUGGCAAAGAAAGCCGCAAGGCGCGCUGGGAGGGGUCUGCGCCCGAUUAGCUAGUUGGCGGGGUAACGGCCCACCAAGGCGGUGAUCGGUAGCUGGUCUGAGAGGAUGAUCAGCCACACGGGGACUGAGACACGGCCCCG
rnacentral:rRNA from 1 species